GAAAUUUAUUAAUUGGAAUCAAAGACUAAUGUAUUAGGCAUCAUAACAUUCAUUAGAAUACAUAAUCAGAACACGCAACUGUUUAAAAGGAUAGUUUGGAAUAAUUCAAGAAAGAUAAAAAAAAAGGGGUGAUUCGGAUACAAAUGACAAACAGUUGCACAUUACAAAUUUCUGCUUUUAGUACUUUGGAACUUGUUCUCUAGUUUUAUAGACCAGUGCCACCAGUUGGGGUGUAAUGGUAGCAUAGAUGCAAGCAAAAGGAAGCCUUUAGGAUUGAAUCCUGAUGGAGUCUUCUGGCUGUUUUGGGAUAGGAAGGUGACCCCUUUCCUGCAAGCUCUUAACAGUUUCAUAUAGGCAUUGCUUCACUGGUGUAAAUUCCAAGCCAAGUUCCUUAAGCUUUUGGUUGGAGAAUUUGUAUGGUUUUGCUCUUGGGUUCUUCUCAUCUGAACACCUGGUGGGGAUGGGAUACUCUGGGAAGAACUUGGCAAGAAUUUCCACCACCUCUCCACGGUGGAGGACGCUUUCGGCGCAGAGAUAUCGGCCAGAGGCAGAGGGCGUUUCAUAGACAAGAAUGUGGGCAAGUGCCACAUCCUUAACGUGCACGUAAGCUUGAACAGAAUUGGCAUAGGUCUUGGCUGAACCAGUUAGGUACUUGAAGAUGUGAAUAAUGCUGGCAUUCACAGUGGAUUGCAGCAGUGGUCCAAGCACCAACACUGGAUUCACCGCCACUAGGUCCACCCUUUUCUCCUUGGCCACGUCCCACGCUGCUUGCUCCGCCACCGCCUUUCCAUAGCAGUACCAGUUCUUAGUAUUCUUGCAAAAGUCGAGGUCACUCCAGCAAGAUUCAUCGACAACAACAUCUGGGUUCCUGUUGGGAUCCAUAUAAACCGCACCGAUGGAAGAUGUAAACACCACCCGCCGGACUUUGGCCUCCGCGGCUGCUAUGACCACAUUUUUGGUCCCAUUCACGGCUGGCUCCACCAUUUGUUCAGGAUCAUCAGUGACAGGAGAAGCAGCGUGGAACACUCCAUCACACCCCAUAAUGGCCUUUCGAAGACUCUCAUAAUCAAGAAGAUCAGCUUUGCACAGAGUUAAUCUCUCCUUGGCACCUUCAAGCUCUCUCAAAUGAGCAUUCUUCGGAUCAUCUGGGUUCCGCAUAGUUCCCUUAACAGUAUAACCUCUCUCAAGAAGCAACUGAACGAUCCAAGAAGCGAUGAAGCCACCGGCUCCGGUGACGCAGACGGUUUGGCCAUGGCCAGAGAGUGAUGAGGUAUCAACAGGCAUGGUAGUUAUAGAGAAGUCGUGUUUGGUUGUUGAGAGGGAAGGAGCAGAAGACAAGUGUAUUGUUUAUAAUGGAAGGAGGGCGCAAGCAAAGCAAGUGCCUGUGUUUGUAAUUUAUAAGGAAAAGAGCUUGCCGCACUCCACCUACCCCGGCUUGGUGUACCUGUAGGGAGAGAUAAAAGAGUGGAGGGAGAUUAAUUUAUGUAUUUCUUCAAUUAUUAUUAUAUUUUGGCAAUAAUAGAAUAUUGUCGUAAA
rnacentral:misc_RNA from 1 species